UAUACAGAAUUAUCAUUAUAUGGAACAAUAAAGCCUUUUCUGUCAACUUGAUCUAUGGUCCAUGUUUGAGAUUCGGAAAGCUCACGUCCUUCAAAGAUGCCUAAAUUACGAGAAUCGCAUGGAUAAUCAGCAAUAGGAAAACUUUCAAACGGAAAACAACUGAAAGAAUCAAGAGGCCCGUAAUUAAGAACGUCUGCAGAAAUAUGAAUUAAGUUGUGAAUGUUAUAUAUUAGUGUUUCUUUACCGUACAAAAGUUCCAUAUUAUCUACGAAGUAGUUCAUAAGAUCUUGAGCAUACCUAUUAUUACGGAUACAUUCUCUUGAGUCACAGAGAAUUCUAACAGCACAAUUGAGAGCAUUAAAAUGUAAUAUCUGAGGUUUACUUAAAAAAUGCUGAAGAACUGUGGGGCCUAGAUACAACAACAAUAAUCGAAACUCUGUUGCUUUCCAAUGAGUGACUUCUUCAAAAAAACGCGGACAUCGUGAAAAUUCUGCUGGAACGGAUUUAGCCAAACUACGAUAAAAAUCAUUAAAUGCGGCAAAUUUAGUUAAUGCUUCCCUGGAUUUUCCCAUAUUGCGGAUCCAAAUUAAAAUGAGUUUUUUCAUUGUUCCUAAACAUAACAAGUGCAUAUAAUCGAGCGGAAAUAGCUUCACCAUAUCAACACCUAUGGUUUCAAAAGGAGAUAAAAUAUUCCGAUAUACAAUAGUUUCACCAGAUUGAAUACACUUGGCACAACGGUUGUUAUGAGCGGGAAAGCAUGAAAUAAAAUUUCGUGCAGGAGUGUCAGCAAGAACUGCAUUUAAUUGAACGAAAUAGUUUUGAUUUUUGUACAUGAAACCCUCAUUGUGUAAUUUCGUAUACUCUAUAAAAAAUGGUUCAAGAAACUGAGCCGCGGAAGAAGGCUUUCCACUUCCAUGAAACGCUCCAAUAACAAAUGGUUCGACAAACUGAGUUCCGACAACUUUACCUAGUAUGGGGCACAACUGACUCUUCGAACUUUUUGAUAUAGUGAGCAUAAGUACUUCCAGCGAAAGUCUGUAUGUCAAUUCUAUUUGGUGUAUUAAGCAAUGUCCUGCUAUCAGAUGGAAGUUCAGGAUGACCAAAUUUUCGUAACCCUGUCAGAAGAUUAUUUACAACGGAGGUACUGUAUGUUAAAUUGCCCAAUGAGCAAGAAAAGUUCGAAGAUCAGUAGUAGAACAAGACAAUUGAGAUUGAACUUUCAUCGGGUUAUGUAUUGUAAGUUUUUCUUCCAAUCUAUUAAGAUCUUCUGUAUUAUCAAACCGUUCGACAUUAUCAAAAAAAUAAUCAGUUUUAUAAUGAAUGUCAUUAGGAAUAGGAGUAUGAGAUCUUGGCUGAGAGCAGGAAGGACGAAUAGGAUCAGGCGCAAUAUUAUUUCCUAAAUUUGCAAGACAAUUAAUAUCCAUUUGCAAAAGAGCACGUGUCCGUCGCCUUUGCUGUCUUCGCGAAACUUCAAGAAACGAUUUUCGAGGGGGUCCCAUAAUUAAUGUAUAUUUUAAUAUUUUAAUUAAUAAAUGAAAAAGAAUAAUAAACAAAAA